rnacentral:rRNA from 1 species
GUACGCGAGCUGGGUUCAGAACGUCGUGAGACAGUUCGGUCCCUAUCCGUCGCAGGCGUAGGAAAUUUGAGAAGACCUGUCCUUAGUACGAGAGGACCGGGAUGGACGUACCUCUGGUGUACCAGUUGUUCUGCCAAGGGCAUGGCUGGGUAGCUAUGUACGGAAUGGAUAAGCGCUGAAAGCAUCUAAGCGCGAAGCCAACUUCAAGAUAAGAUUUCCCACCGCAAGGGUAAGACCCCAGAAAGACUAUCUGGUUGAUAGGUCGAAGGUGUAAGUGCAGCAAUGUAUUUAGCUUAUCGAUACUAAUAGGUCGAGGACUUGACCAAU